rnacentral:rRNA from 1 species
ACUGAAUAGAUACCCGGGUAGUCCACGCCGUAAACUAUGAGUGCUAGACGUCGGGAAGCUUGCUUUUCGGUGUCGCAGCUAAACGCAUUAAGCACUCCGCCUGGGGAGUACGGCCGCAAGGUUAAAACUCAAAGGAAUUGACGGGGGCCCGGCACAAGCGGUGGAGCAUGUGGUUUAAAUUCGAUGCAACGCGAAGAACCUUACCAGCCCUUGACAUACUAGGUUUCGACUCCGAGAGAUUGGAGUUUUCAGUUCGGCUGGGCCUAGUACAGGUGCUGCAUGGCUGUCGUCAGCUCGUGUCGUGAGAUGUUGGGUUAAAGUCCCGCAACGAGCGCAACCCUCAUCUUCAGUUGCCAUCAGGUUAUGCUGGGCACUCUGAAGAAACUGCCGGUGACAAGCCGGAGGAAGGUGGGGAUGACGUCAAGUCCUCAUGGCCCUUACGGGCUGGGCUACACACGUGCUACAAUGGCGGUGACAGUGGAUGCGAUGGCGCAAGCCGGAGCGAAUCUCCAAAAGCCGUCUCA